rnacentral:rRNA from 1 species
UACGGGGGGGGCAAGCGUUGUUCGGAAUUACUGGGCGUAAAGGGCUCGUAGGCGGCCAACUAAGUCGGACGUGAAAUCCCUCGGCUUAACCGGGGAACGGCGUCCGAUACUGGAUGGCUUGAGUUUGGGAGAGGGAUGCGGAAUUCCAGGUGUAGCGGUGAAAUGCGUAGAUAUCAAGAGGAACACCUGAGGUGAAGACGGGUUGCUGGGCCAACACUGACGCUGAGGCGCGAAAGCCAGGGGAGCAAACGGG